rnacentral:rRNA from 1 species
UACGGGGGGGGCAAGCGGUGUUCGGAAUUACUGGGCGUAAAGGGCGCGUAGGCGGUGGUCUAAGUCGGAUGUGAAAACUCUGGGCUCAACCCAGAGCCUGCAUCCGAAACUGGAGUGCUAGAGUUCUGGAGGGGGUAGCGGAAUUCCUGGUGUAGCGGUGAAAUGCGUAGAUAUCAGGAGGAACACCGGUGGCGAAGGCGGCUACCUGGACAGAAACUGACGCUGAGGCGCGAAAGCUAGGGGAGCAAACAGG